CACUGGCCCAGACACAUGAACACGCUGUAAGGAGCAAUGAAUAGUGUGUGAUGCUGUCAGUGGAUUGAGUGUCAGACUGCCUACCACGUAAGGAUCGCUGGUGAUUACUCCAAUUUUUUUUUCUUUCUCUUCAGGAUGUGUUUCUUUCCGCACUGCAGUAUGUAAAAGAGUAAAGCUUCAGCUUCAGUGCGCUGCCUGUGGACUGAUGGCCGUCACUCUCUGCCGUGCUCUAACAGAGAGUGUGAAAGAUGAAAAUCUGAAUGGCUGGAUGAAUAUACCUCAUCACAGUGUAAAACCUUUCCUGUCUCCGCACUGGACCGUGGUAGAGUGUCACAGGGGAGGUGCUCGCUCUCCACACCUCCGCGGCUGGAGCGCGCACGCCAGGGUUUGAUGUCCUGUUGUGGGCUGGAGCUGGGACAGGGAUGAG